UACGGAGGGUGCAAGCGUUAAUCGGAAUUACUGGGCGUAAAGCGUGCGCAGGCGGUUUGUUAAGUCCGUUGUGAAAGCCCCGAGCUCAACUUGGGAAUUGCAGUGGAUACUGGCAGGCUGGAGUACGGUAGAGGAAGGUGGAAUUCCCGGUGUAGCAGUGAAAUGCGUAGAGAUGCGGAGGAACACCGAUGGCGAAGGCAGCCCCCUGGGCUAACACUGACGCUCAGGCACGAAAGCGUGGGGAGCAAACAGG
rnacentral:rRNA from 1 species